GGUUAUUAGCCCUGGGGGCUAAUUUGUCUUGAAAACAAAUUAUAAGUGUUCGAAUCACUUAAUAACUU
rnacentral:tRNA from 1 species